rnacentral:rRNA from 1 species
UACAGAGGGGGCAAGCGUUGUUCGGAAUUACUGGGCGUAAAGGGCGCGUAGGCGGCCCGCUAAGUCGAACGUGAAAUCCCCGAGCUCAACUCGGGAACUGCGUCCGAUACUGGCGGGCUUGAAUCCGGGAGAGGGAUGCGGAAUUCCAGGUGUAGCGGUGAAAUGCUUAGAGAUUACAUGGAAUACCAAUUGCGAAGGCAGGUUACUACCAAUAUAUUGACGCUGAUGGACGAAAGCGUGGGGAGCGAACAGG